UUCAAUGUACUUUAUUUUAUGUUUUGAACACUUUUUUUUCCCUAAGGAGUCCAUAGAUUUCAUGACACUUCCAAAGUCAAUGAACACAAAAAGAAAGUGACUAAGUCUUUUUCUAAUCUAACUUCAUUUUAUGGAAGAGGAAACUAAAGCAACCCAAAGAGAUCCUGCUAAUUCUCCUUGAGUGAGAAUGAAGAACUAGGUCCUUCAGAGGAUUUUCAGAUACUGAAAGAGAAGCCUGGAGGCAGAGUUUGGGGAGGGUGAGAGAGUAAUCUAUAAUAGGAAGAAAAGGAGGAGAAGGAGAAAGAGGAG